rnacentral:lncRNA from 1 species
GUGUAAGGUGUUGCAUCAGCAUAUCUCUUUCUUCAUUUGAUUGGAUUGUUAAGCUGAUUGGAUCGGAGUUCAUCCUACUUUCCUACUGCAUCUGACAUGCAUGCGAAGUAGAGAGUCUGUACAUCUAGACCUCCAUAAAGAUUUAAUUUAGAUUAAUUAAGAUUUAAUCUUUGGUUCUUCUACUAAUUAGAUAAGAAUUUGAUCUUUAUUCAUAUAGAUUAAUAAAAAAAAUUUUAGAUACAAUCUGAGCUUUUCGAAGAGAAAUAAUUUUCCUUUCCUUCUACUGAUAUCAGAGUAGGUCUGAAAUAUAUGCAUGCAUAACUGAAUUUUUUGAGAUUAAUUACAAAAAAUAUAAUUAAU